rnacentral:miRNA from 1 species
ACACGAGCAGUUCGUAACAAGGC